AACAUCGCGCACCUGCGGGAACCUGCGGAAGGAUCAUUACCGAGUGUGGUCCCUUAUAAGGGGCGCCUCCCGUCCUUUGCAGGGCCUUUAGGGGCUUUUUGACUUUGCUUCGGCGGGCUUGCCCCGCCGGAACACCCUCAAGAAAAUCUUUAUGAACCGUUUGUCUGAGUUGCUUGCGAAUAAAAACAAAACUUUUAGCAACGGAUCU
rnacentral:misc_RNA from 1 species